GGGGAGUGUGUUGACCCAAAAGCACCUCAGAUGCUGGGCGCGGCGAACCCAUGGCGACCUUGGCGGCCGACGGGGACGGCUUCGAGUUCGUAUCAGAUCCCAUCGAUAGGUUCCCAUUCCGGCAUUGAACGAGACUAUGUGGCGGUCGCCAAAUCGACCUAUGCUAGAUCUGGUGGAAGCAUCCGGUGAAUGCAGCGUACACGAGAUGCCUGAUGGAGAAGGCUGCUUCAGCUCGACCUGAACGGGGUUUGCGACGCCAGCUUCGACGACAGAAUCCGAACAAUCUAACGGCAAAGACGACCCGCAGGCUCCGGGCUGGACAAAAAGUGCCGAGCAAAUGAAGAGGUUGCAAUACAGAAAGUCAUGCCAGAUGUGACACGCCAGUGGUGGAAAUGGCAUGUGUUGAAGAAGCAUAAAGAGUUUCUUGGGCAUUUGUACACAAAGAGAAGCAAUUUCAGAGAUGAUUUCCACAAGAUAGGUCAUCACAUGAUGAUGGUUGAUGAGUUCAAGAAAGCAUGGGCAGACCUGAUGGAUGCAUACAGAUUGCAGAAGACCACAUACUCGACUCAGUUGCACGAAGUUAGGACCAAGUGGGAAAAGCCAGACUUCAAAGGUAAAUUUUGUGCCAAGAUGACGAGCACUCAACGAAGUGAGAGUGCUAAUCACAUGUCCCCGUGGGCUGCCUUAUGCAUCUGUUGGUUCGGAAGUACAUGACUUUGUUAUUCGAUCGUGAGGCAAACGAGAACUAUGAAGAAAGGCGAACAAAAAUUGUAAGCUUUUUGCCUAAUGAUUAAUUAUUUUGAUGAAUUUGACGUUUGGUUACUAUAGUGAUGUCUCUGAUCUUACUAGACGACCUCGGUAAUGAAGAUGAAUACCCCACUGGAGCUGCAUGCAAGCAAUUUGUACACCAUUGCUAUGUUUGAGAAAUUUGGUGAGUUCUGUAAGACAGUAAGAGGCAGGCCAAUACAAGGUUGAUGAGGUCGAGAAAGGUGCAAAGUACCUGGUUCGGAAAUACCACCGAGAGAAGCACAAAAAGUGGUGCAGGGUGGUAUAUGAAAUUCCAGUGCUGAAUCAGGGUAUGGAGAUAGCAUGCUAGUGUGGAAAUUUUGAACAUAUAGGAUUGAUGUGUUGUCAUGCUCUGAAGGUGCUUGACUUCCUAGGAUUGACAGAGAUACCAGCUAAACACAUUGUGAAGAUGCGCUUCCGGACCACUUGAUGCGCCUUCAAAAAGAUCAGCUAUCUAACAACUCCGUAACAUCCAAACUUGUGCACACACACCCUGGAGAUUGUGCCGCUGGGCGAUGCAAACACAACAACAUAUGAACUAGUUAUCGGUUUGCUGAAAUUGGCAAUGUAGAAACUGACCCCAGUAGCUACUGUCCAAGAUGGGCUUAGAUUGGAGGAUCACUUUCAUGCAAACUGGGCAGCACGGAGAGAAAAGAGCAAUGGACAAGAACCAUCCAGUAACUACGGAAGCAAUGUCGAAGGCACUACAAUGGGUAACAUAGUGGGGCUAAUGGAUCCGGAACAGAAAAGGAAAGCAGGACAACCCAAAACAGCAGAGACAAACCUCCUAACGAUGAUCGCGUAGCAAAGUCAAGGCUAUGCAAUGGUGCUGCAAGAGUGCCAAACCCCUUGAUGGGCGGUAUCAGCAAGCACACCCGAUUUUGCAUAUCUGUCGGCAACCAGAGCACAGGAGCAGUACUUGUCCGCAACGGAGGACAUCCAGAAAACACCAAGAAAUGAAGCAAACUGCUCGAACUGUGACGCGUUGGCGGGCAUCGGAAGAAUACCUACAGCAACCUUUGUAGUGCAUGUUGUGCCAAGCGCAUCCGGAGGGUCAAUUACUUGAGGCAAACGCAUAGGCUAUCCUUGAUUUUUCUUGCAGAGGGCUCAUCAAGCGCUCUACAACCGAAUUUCAGGAGUAGUGUUUGUGUUAUCAAUUUGCUGGACUCCCAGUAUCUAUGUGGUACUGUA